AGGAAUCCCUGAUUGGCACAGACAGAAUUGAGUUUCACUCUUCCAUGGAAAAGCACACAGGAUUUGGAAGCUGUUUGACCUCAGGUCUUCUUCAUCAGUCUCUCUGUAAGGCAGAAACAUUGAGAAUGCCAGAAUGGGGAUUGUGCAAUUAGGUGGUAUUUUUUUUACGGGGGGUGGGAGAUUAUUUUACCUGAUGGUACCUGUUGGGUAAAACAAGGGUGCAAAUUAAAAAAAAAAAAAUAGUGUUGGCUUUAGAAUCUGACAACUGGUUUUAAAUUCAGACUAUUUCAUAUCCAGCAAGUGUGGUCUGGGGUGGUGAUAUAAUAUUGAAUGGUUCUUAGGAGGACCACGUAAAAUGCUAUGUGAAAAGCUUCUACCUAGUCCUUGGCACAGUAAGAAUGGUUGAUUUACAGUUGCUGCUGUUGUUUUUUGUCUCAUUCCCUUAAUAUAAAAUACAUAUUCCUUCUCAUCCUGAGCUAAACAGGGUCGCUUUCAAUAAUAAGCAUGGCCCUUACCCUUGUUUGUGGUAGUGAAUGUUCCCAGUUUCUCAGAACAAAGAAGAUUUGCUUCCAAUGUCUAGUCUAUAUGUCUAAUUUCUCAUUCUAUCUGGAAACACUAAAUUAAGUCCAGCUUCUUCUCCCAUCUGUGCUAGUUGUCUAUGA